rnacentral:rRNA from 1 species
UACAGAGGUGGCAAGCGUUGUUCGGAAUUACUGGGCGGAAAGGGCGCGUAGGCGGCCUUCUAAGUCAGACGUGAAAUCCCCCGGCUUAACCUGGGAACUGCGUCUGAUACUGGAGGGCUUGAGUGCGGGAGAGGGAUGUGGAAUUCCAGGUGUAGCGGUGAAAUGCGUAGAUAUCAGGAGGAACACCGGUGGCGAAGGCGGAUCUCUGGGCCGUAACUGACGCUGAGGAGCGAAAGCAUGGGGAGCGAACAGG